CCAGACCACAUUGGGUCACUUCACUUCCCAUCAUCACACCCCCAGCAGUACACUUAGUCACAGAGCUUCAUCAGUGCUCUCGGGCAUUACUUCUGCCAAGAUGACGUGUAUAAUGGACAGCACUCGUGCGUUCUUUAAGGCGCCGUUUUCACCAGUGAUACUCUCUAUCACCGAACCACGUAUGUCCAUACUGCUGCAUGUAAUAGACAGCACUCGUGCGUUCUUUAAGGCGCCGUUUUCACCAGUGAUAUCCUUUAAUCACCGAACCACGUAUGUCUCAUUACAUCGGUCCUGAUUGGUUUCAGCUGAGAAUUUCCCCAAUUCCCUUUCGUAGUUCCCUCUGCUUUACAACUCAUCAAUGUCAAAUAGACAUACUCGGCCAUCAACCAAUCAAUCACUCAAUUUAAUUCAAUUUGGGAUAAAUCCCUAAUUUGCACAAUCAAUUCAAAUCCGCGCAAUGUAAAGCUCAAAUAAAUAAAUGGAUUGCACCACGACAAUCAGCACGAAAUUCUGGUCACCGGCCAUCCCGGUUGAAUUUCCGGAAAAUAAUUAAAUAAUUAAUUAAUUUCGAAAAUUAAAUAAAUAAAUACGAUAAAUUCAAUUUAGCACAAUAUAAAGCUCAAUUAAAUAAAUAGACUGCACCAUGAUCAUCAGCAUAAAAUCCCGAUCACUAGCCAUCCCAGUUGAAUUUUCGGGAAAUAAAUAAUUAAAUAAAUAAAUUUCGAAAAUUAAUAUUAAAUUCCUAAAAAUUCCUUCUAGGCCCGAAUUGCUUAAAUAAUACCCGAUAAGGGACGGGAAAAAUCCCAAGAUGCCUUCAAUAAUUAAUCGGACAUGUCUACCUACUAAUUACACCAUCAAUUUAACUAACACGCAUUAACAAGUCUCUAAUUUAAUUAUUUUAAUCUAAUCUAUCCACCUAAUUGCAAUUAAUUAAAUCUAAUUAAACCUUAGGCAUAUUAGUCUACUAAUAAAGCAUUAGUGAGUAAAACUCACUUGAUUAAAAACGGGGACCGGGACACCGCGACGGCGACGCGACGGCAGCCGAAUUCCAAACUUUCGGCGGCGUCGGCGGACACUCGGGCCGGGCUCAAAAGCCUCACAAGCCUGCAGAAAUUUCUGGGCUUAGGCCUGCUGGAAUCCUUGGGCUGAGCCUGAACUUGGGCUUGAAUCAAAGCUGAAUUGGGCCUGCCUUUCAAACAACUUGAGCUGAAGCUUGGGCCAAAAUUUGCUGGGCUGGACUGAGCGAAAAAUGCUUGCUCACGGACUGGGCUUGCUGUGAUUGAACAAGCUGGGCCGAACUUGUUGCUGUGAAGAUGGGUCCACGAGAUUGAAGCUUGCGGUUUCAAAUGGCCCGACUGCUGGGCCUUGGGCUUCGCUAGUAGUUGGUGUCGAGCUGAGGAGGACGCGGCAGGAUUCGCUGGGAACGUGGACUGCUGCGGGCGUGUGAAGCGGCAGAGAAGCGGACGAAUGAAGAGGAGCUGUUGUGGAGUUCGCUGGUCUGUUGCUAGGUCAACACUGGCCCGGUUUGUUGACCAUGCAGGGAGAAGAGGUGGCCGAACGAUGCUGGCUUCGAGCGGGUUUCGGGAUUCCUUCGGUGGAAUUUGCUGGCCGCAUAUGGAGUUGCGGAGGCAGACGUGUGGACGGCAGACGCGUGGGGACUUCGGUCAACAAAUUGCAAGGAAGAAGACCAGUUGAGGUGGCGAGCUGGCUUGCGAGUUGCUUCGUUCGGCGUCGCUUCGCUGGCUCAACUUGGCAGCAGCUCGGUCAACAAAUUGAAGAGAAGAAGGCUUGGAGUUGACUGGCGUGGGAACUUGAAGCAGCUGCGGCAGCAAUUGAAGACGCGUGGAGGACUGAACGGCAGAAGCGUGAGGCUUCGGUCGCGGAUGGUAGCUUCGCAGGGGAAAAACCGAAAGUAGAGCAGGCGGCAGGGACUGAUCGAGGAAGGAGGAAGCGAAAGUUGAAAGCAAAAGCAGAAUAAACCUUCGGCCGAGGCAGGGGUCGUCCGCGUGAGAAGAUGGAGGCCAGCCGUUUGUGCGUGUUCCACAAGCCAAAGAAAAGAUCAACACAACAUCUCUUCUCUUAAAUGCUUGUCCCCCCAAUAGCUCUAAAAAAUAUCCUAGUGUUCCCUUUUUACUUUCUAGCACUAAUAUC
rnacentral:lncRNA from 1 species